rnacentral:rRNA from 1 species
UACGGAGGGAGCUAGCGUUGUUCGGAAUUACUGGGCGUAAAGCGCACGUAGGCGGCUUUCUAAGUCAGGGGUGAAAUCCCGGGGCUCAACCCCGGAACUGCCCUUGAAACUGGAUGGCUAGAAUCCUGGAGAGGCGAGUGGAAUUCCGAGUGUAGAGGUGAAAUUCGUAGAUAUUCGGAAGAACACCAGUGGCGAAGGCGACUCGCUGGACACAUAUUGACGCUGAGGUGCGAAAGCGUGGGGAGCAAACAGG